AUGACCAUCCCACCAAAGCAUUUGCUUCUAGCCAUCCUCGGUUGCCUCUGCAUCUGUAGUUCAGUCCUAGCAGCUCGCGAGCUCACUGAUGACUUGUCGAUCGCGGCGAGCCACGAGAGUUGGAUGUUGCAAUAUGGCCGUGUGUACAAGGAUGCCACUGAGAAGGCACAACGGCUUAAGGUGUUCAAGGCUAAUGUCGAGUUCAUCGAGUCCUUCAACGCCGAGAACCACAAGUUCUAUUUGGGAGUCAAUCAGUUUGCUGACCUCACCAACGAGGAGUUUAAGACGACAACGGCUAACAAGGGAUACAAAUCUAGCUUGGAGAGGGCUCCCACAGGAUUCAGGUAUGAGAACGUAAGCUUGGAUGCACUUCCAGCAACAGUAGACUGGAGGACCAAGGGUGCGGUCACUCCCAUCAAGGAUCAGGGCCAAUGUGGUUGUUGUUGGGCAUUUUCCGCCGUUGCUGCAACCGAGGGCAUUGUCAAGCUGAAAACUGGCAAGCUUAUCUCUUUAUCGGAACAAGAGUUGGUAGAUUGUGAUGUCCACGGCGUGGAUCAGGGCUGUGAGGGCGGGCUCAUGGAUGAUGCCUUCAAGUUCAUCAUUUCAAAUGGUGGACUGACAGGUGAGUCUAGCUACCCAUAUAAAGCAGAAGAUGGCAAGUGCAAGAGUGGAUCCAAAGAUGCCGCCACCAUCAAGAGUUACGAGGAUGUGCCAGCCAACAAUGAAGGUGCCCUCAUGGCGGCUGUCGCGAACCAGCCUAUUUCAGUAGCCGUCGAUGGUGGUGACAUGACGUUCCAAUUUUACAAAGGUGGAGUGAUGACUGGUUCUUGCGGCACUGACCUAGACCAUGGUAUUGCAGCUAUUGGCUAUGGAAAGACGACUGAUGGCACAAAAUAUUGGUUGUUGAAGAAUUCGUGGGGGACAACAUGGGGUGAGAAUGGGUAUUUAAGAAUGGAGAAGGAUAUUUCUGACAAGAGAGGCAUGUGUGGUCUUGCCAUGGAGCCUUCCUACCCUACUGAGUAG
rnacentral:rRNA from 1 species